rnacentral:rRNA from 1 species
CGUAGGUGGCAAGCGUUGUCCGGAUUUACUGGGCGUAAAGGGCGUGCAGGCGGUCUGUUAAGUGCAGGGUGAAAGCUCCCGGCUCAACUGGGAGAGGUCCUUGCAUACUGGCGGACUUGAGGGGGGUAGAGGAAAGUGGAAUUCCCGGUGUAGUGGUGAUAUGCGUAGAUAUCGGGAGGAACACCUGUGGCGAAGGCGGCUUUCUGGGCCCUACCUGACGCUGAGACGCGAAAGCGUGGGGAGCGAACCGGAUUAGAUACCCGGGUAGUCCACGCCGUAAACUAUGGACACUAGGUGUGGGGGGUAUCGACCCCUCCGUGCCGCAGCUAACGCAAUAAGUGUCCCGCCUGGGGAGUACGGCCGCAAGGCUA